GACGAACGCUGGCGGCGUGCUUAACACAUGCAAGUCGAACGGGCCUGUCUUCUUUUUUGGGGGGUGGGUUGAGUGGCGAACGGGUGAGUAUCACGUGAGUAACCUGCCCUUCGGUCCUGGAUAACCGCUUGAAAGGGCGGCUAAUACGGGGUGGUCCGGUUGGUCCGCAUGGGCUGGUCGGGAUAGAUUCACUGUUUUUGGUGUUUCGGCGGGGGAUGGGCUCGCGGCCUAUCAGCUUGUUGGUGGGGUGAUGGCCUACCAAGGCGGUGACGGGUAGCCGGCCGGAGAGGGUGGGCGGCCACACUGGGACUGAGAUACGGCCCAGACUCCUGCGGGAGGCAGCAGUGGGGGGUAUUGCACAAGGGGCGGAAGCCUGAUGCAGCGACGUCGCGUGAGGGAUGGAGGCCUUCGGGUUGUGAACCUCUGUUUCCGGUGGUGAAGGCCCUGUCCGUGUGGUGGGGUUGACGGUAGCCGGGGAUGAAGCGCCGGCUAACUACGUG
rnacentral:rRNA from 1 species